rnacentral:rRNA from 1 species
UACGUAGGGUGCGAGCGUUGUCCGGAAUUAUUGGGCGUAAAGAGCUCGUAGGCGGCUUGUCGCGUCGGCUGUGAAAACCCGGGGCUCAACCCCGGGCCUGCAGUCGAUACGGGCAGGCUAGAGUCCGGCAGGGGAGACUGGAAUUCCUGGUGUAGCGGUGAAAUGCGCAGAUAUCAGGAGGAACACCGGUGGCGAAGGCGGGUCUCUGGGCCGUAACUGACGCUGAGGAGCGAAAGCGUGGGGAGCGAACAGG